rnacentral:ribozyme from 12 species
UAUCUUUGUGUUUUGUGCUUUCCGAUUUUUUUUUUUUUUCUUUUUGAUCCUUCUGUGUUAUUAUUAAUCGACAAUAAAAA